UGCUAAAAAUUCUAGAAAAUGUAUUUUUUUUAUAUCUUAUAUAAAAGUAAAAUAAAUAAGUUUAUUUUCAGUUUGAUCUGGUUCUAUAACAAAUCCGCUGAUACAGAUAUGUAAUAAUACAGUGAUAAGAGUUUCUUAUGAAGAUAAGAAAGGGAAAUAAACCAAGAAAAAUGGAAAGAAAUGAAAUUUUCUUUUGAGAAGAUGUGAACUUCCAUAUAAUUUUAAAAGACAACCUCUCUGAUUGUACUCUGCUUCUCGACUGAAAGUGUGUGCUAAAAAAAGAGUAAAUCUGGAACAACAAGACUGGACUCCUGUUGAAAAAGUAUAUCCGUUGUUCUACGCUGUUAGAGAAAAUGUAUUAUUGUUAUGAAGAGAGGCUGUGAUAUAAGAUACAGAUAUGUAAUAAUACAGUGAUAAGAGCUUCUUAUGAAGAUAAGAAAGGAGAAUACACCAAGAAAAAUGGAAAGAAAUGAAAUUUUCUUUUUAGAAGAUGUGAAGAACUUCCUUAGAAUUUCUUAAGAAAACCUCUCCGAUUGUACUCUGCUUUUUAAUGAAAGUGUGUGCCAAAAAACAGUUAUUCUAGAGCAACAAGAUUGGAAUCCUGUAGAAACAGCAUACCCGUGAGAUGGUUUCUGCUUUCAAUGGAUGUUGUUCUACAUUGUUAGUAAAUGCAUUAUUAUUAUGAAGAGAGGUUGUGGUAUAAGAAAUAUGCGAAAGAGUUACUGGAAAUAUGAACGUCCGGUAUACAUCAGAAAGAAUAUUCUAUAGAAGAAUCCACGAGCAAUCCAAGGACUUAUGCCAUUUGGGCUGUAUAUUAUG